rnacentral:lncRNA from 1 species
UAAUGGAGGCAGCAUUUGCCGGAAAGAACAAAGAGGUGAUGCGGAAGGACACAGUAAGACAUACGGCUCACCACCACUAAAGAUCUUUUCGUUAAUGGGACUGCAUGGCGUCAGGAAUACUCUUUAAUCUUUGUGGUUCACAACUGUGCACCUCUAUUCGUAAGCAAGUGCCACAUUGACUCGGUGAUCAUCAUCGACAGCACCUGGAUGUGGUAGUAUAGGCGAGGUUAGGUGUAUAGGCGGU